AUGUAGGCAAAACACUCAUACACAUAAUAAUUAAAAGAUAAAUAAAAAAGAAUAAAGACGCCUAAAAAGAAAUAGAGAAAUCUGAAAGAAAAUAACAAAGAAGAAAGAAUUACCCAUGGGCUUAUCCCUCUUAGAAAAUGUUAUUCUUUAUCUUGCUCCUUCCAGCCUUGGACCAUAUGCAGACUGACAUAUUUUGCAUAGUUUUACCAGAGAAUGCACAUCCAACUUUGUGUUCUAUUUCUUCCUCUUAACAUAUUGUGUCAGCAUAGUGCUAUAUCGUUAAGAUGGCUUGGAGUGAACUUACUUUAAGUCCCUACGUAAGAGUCCACUGAGUUGAUUAUACAUUCUUCCUUCUCAAAUGUAAGAAGUCUAGAAUCCCUGCAGUAGGUUGUUGAUCAGAAAAGCCUCUUUCAUGUGGUAAGAUCCCCCUCUGCUGGAACUUUGUUUGUUUUAUGUACCAAAGAUAAUUUAUUGACUAUACAGAUUUCAUACUUGUGGCACAAAUGGGUUUUUCUGAGGUAGUGCUCACAUUUUGGAGGGUGAUGAGGGGAGGGACUCUGUAGAGCAAGUGUCUCCACAUCUGUGGUAAUGACAGUGCCUGGACUUAUUGGAUAACCACAUCUUCUCCUCUAGAACCUGUGGACAAAGCUACUGCUCUGAGGGAGUUCCGGGUGCUGCACACCGCCCUGCACAGCAGCUCCUCCUACAGGGAAGCGGUCUUUAAGAUGCUCAGCAAUAAAGAAUCUCUAGAUCAGAUCAUUGUGGCAACCCCAGGUCUCAGCAGUGACCCCAUUGCCCUAGGGGUUCUCCAGGACAAGGACCUCUUCUCUGUCUUUGCUGAUCCCAACAUGCUGGAUACGUAAGUAUAACCAUCAUUUUGUAAAGUACAUUCCUCAUGCGAUCAGCUAAAAACCUGGUUGUUGCCCUGGGAUCUCUUCUUGGAGCCAGUCUGUCACCAGGUCUGCUUUCUAAAUGUGUCGAGAUGGAAGGAGCAGCAAGGACUGCUUAAGAAAUAGAAAAGCGGGCUGGAGAGAUGGCCCAGAGGUUAAGAGCACUGACUGUGCUUCCAGAGGUCCUGAGCUCAAUUCUCAGCAACCACAUGGUGGCUCACAACUAUCUGUAAUGAGAUCUGGUGCCCUCUUCUGGCCUGCAGCCAUACAUGCAGACAGAACACUGUAUACACAAUAAAUAAAUAAAUAAA